rnacentral:lncRNA from 1 species
AGGUUGGGUAAAGAGAGGUGUUUGAAGUGUUUCAGGUGUGCCUGCAGGCUGCUGCUGUGGACGCGCGUGCUGGAAUCCGGGGCAAGGUCCUGAGUCUGCUACUGCUUUCCAAGGUGCGGCCGAAAUGUGUGAGUACAGGUCUUCUGGUUCUUUUCAUUAUAGCUGUAAAUGAUGUACGUCCUGACCCGUCAACCACGAACAGUAUCUUUUCAAAGGAGGCCGCUCUGCCCGCGUUUGGGGCGGACCUGAAGAGCCCCGGAAUGUGUAUCUCCCCAGAGCACCUGCAACAAUGCGUGGGAACCCCUGGGACAGGACGUGCGUCCAAGGUCUCAGAAGGAGCGGGAUAGUUGAGACAGGCGGAGGAUGGAAAAGGCCUUCGUGAAUUGAGAGAUUGUGCAGAAGACACUAAUGUGCUGGGAAGGAGAAGUCUCUGCUUCCCCCAUUGGAAUCGUCGUCACACACUGAAGUUAACUUCAUUAUUUAAACAAGGAUUUGCUGAUGACAGGUUAGUGGCUUAACGUGUGGACUUUUUGUUUUUUUAAUGGCCAUUCCCACAGCAUAUGGAGGGUCCCCUGGCCAGGGAUUGAAUCCAAGCCCCAGCUGCGACCUAAGCCACAGCUGCAGCAACGCCUUUACCCAACUUCGCCAGGUCGGGGAUUGAACCCAAGCCCCCACAGUGACCAGAGCUGCUGCAGUCAGAUUCUUCACCCACUGCAUCACAGCGGGAACUCCUAAAAAGUUUGGACAUUUGAGCUGCCUUACAUGAGUUCAAAUCCUCUUACUAGCUGUGUUGAUUGUAUCAAGUUCCUUAAUCUCUUUGUGCCUCAAUUUCCCAUAUUGUAAACAGGCAAAAGUGUCUGUGUGUGUGUGGAUAUGUGUAGUCAGAAAGAUUGUUAGAUAAUAUUGAAUGUCUGAAACACAGUGCAAGAAUAUUAACUAUUAUCAGUAUACAGUAAUUACUAUAAUAAUGUUAUACUGUCAUUAAUAUAUCAAUCUAGUAAGUAUUAUUAACUUAAUAUUAUUAAUUUUCUUUCUAUACAGCCUCACCACAUUUUCUUCAUGAUACUCUGAGCUAGUUUUUGUGUUGUUUUUUUUUUAAAAAAACUCCAUUUUACAGAUAAGACAACUAAUGCUCAGAAAAGUUAGGUGGCUUCCCCACCGUCACACAGCAGCUAAGAUGAACCAUCCAAGUCUACUUGGUUUGCACCAUAUUUUGUGGCGGUGCUCCUGCUGGUGUUUCUAUAAUGUAGCUUAAUUCAGUCAAAUAGCAUGAAAGAAAUUGAAAAAAGUGAUUGAAAACGAGCAGGGCACGGGAGAGUUCAUUCUGCUUCCCGAAGGCACAUGCAGAGCCAGCAGGGGGCAGCACGCACCAGGACAACCAGAGUACCCUGGAGGCGUUUGUCGGGUGUCCUUUAGCUAGGGUCCCUCUGAGCCUUUUCAGGAUUAAAUUUAUUUAUUUAUUGUCUUUUUCAUAUGGAAGUUCCCAGGCUAGGGGUCUAACCAGAGCUGCAGCCACCGACCUACACCAGAGCCACAGCAAUGCAGAAUCCAAGCCUCGUCUGCAACCUUCACCACAGCUCACGGCAACACCGGAUCCUUAACCCACUGAGGCCAGGGAUCGAACGUGCAACCUCAUCGUUCCUAGUCAGAUUCGUUAACCACUGAGCCAGGACGGGAACUCCCAGGGUUAGAUUUAGAUCACGCCAUUUGGGCAGGAAUACACAUGAGUGACAGGUCCUCAGCUCUUCAAAGUGCACGGGUGUCAGUUUGUUCCAAUAUUGGAGGUGCAAAUUCCGCUCACUUGAUGCAGCGGUCUGAAUAUUUGUCUUUCCCACAAAAUUCAUAGGUUGCAAUCCUCACGUCCAGUGUGAUGGUUGUAGGAGGUGGGCCUUUGGCAGGCGAUUAGGCCGAGAGGCGGUGCCCUUGUGAUGGGAUCUUUGUAAGAGUCCUAGCUGAGCUCUCCAGCUCUUUUGACCCCCUGCCGGGACACAGGGAGAAGUCUGCAGUUGGCACCCCCUGAGGAGGGUCCUCCCCAGGUCCUGACCAUGCAGCCACCCUCAUCUUGGAUGUCCAGCCACCAGAGCUGUGAGAAAGUCAGUGUCCGUUGUUCACAAGCCACCCAAUCUAUGGGACUUUGUUCCAGCAGCCUGAACUGACCGGGAUGCUUGGUUAAGGCCGUUGGUCAGGUUUCUCCAUUGUAAAGUUAUUGUUUUCCUCUUGUACCUAAUAAGCAUUUUAUGAGACGACAUAGUGGAGAUGUCUUCUCUCUCACUGGCGCUUGCAUCCAGCGUGGUCCCCACCCACGCUGAACCGGGAGCACGGUGCAACCAGUGGGAUGUUGGGGAGAUGGUGAAGUUUGACUUGGAGGCUGGUUCCCAAGGAGAGCACUGUCUCCUGCCUUACUCUCUGGGAUCACAGGCUCUAGAGAAGCCGAAAGUCAUGCCUUCAAAAUAGAUGAGAACUGUAAUCUAAGAUUUUAAAAUAAAUCAGGGCGAAAAUUAAAUUAAAGGGAAACCUCACCAAAAUAGAAUGGGGAGGCCAGAAGGGGGCGCUCUCAUACACGUGCCUCUCAAGAUCAGGGCAGAGCCCAACAGGAAGAGCUGUACCUUGCAUCUCCCUCAGGGAUUGCUGUUUGAGUAUCACCAGCAGGAGGAAGAAAGGUUUUUUGACUGUCACAACUCAGCCAAUGAAAAGCCACUAUACGUCUAAGUACUAAUUUCCUAGAAGGGACUUUUUGUUUCUUACAGCCUCCCAACUUCCCCUUUUCCUCCAGCAAAGCAUUUUCUCUCCUUUCUUCUACUGCACAUGUCUGUGGUUCACCAUCGUCGCCUGUCCCAAAAGGUGAUUAUGUGGUUCUCUUGGAUAAAUCUGUUUUGCUGGUAAAAAAUAACCAGCUGUUUUAUUGUUUUAGGUUUAAAGCAGACAUAAAAAGUAACCUAAGAUAUGGAAAGCAAUAUAUGUCAGAUUUAGAAAAGCUCAGGAGGUGAAAAACUCAGGAAAGGAUUAAAAGUUGUAUGUGUCAAAGUAAUCCAAGAACAAAUUAACAAAACUGUAGGUCACAGAGGCAGCUUGCGUCCAGUGUUCCUGUGGCUGUGGCAUAGGCAGGCAGCCGUAGCUCUGAUUAUGCAUUAAGAGAAAUAAAGGAAAGAAGUAGGAAGAUAUUAAAAGAUAUUAUUGGGGCCAUAAUAAUGGGUACUCAAAGAUAUCCACCUACUAAUCCCCAGAACCUGUGUGCAUGUUUUCUUACACAGCAAAAGAGACUUUGCAGGUGUGGUUAAAUUAAGGCUCUCAAAACAGGGAGAUUAUCCUAGAUCAUCUGGGUGGGAUUAAUCUAGUCACGCAGGUCCUUAAAAGGAGACAAUUGUUUCUGGCUGUGAUGGGAAGUCAGAAGAGGCCAGGUGUGUAUGUGUUAGGAAGAAACCUAUUCCGGGAUUUCCCUUCAUGGAUCAGCUGUUAAGAACCUGAUUAGGAUCCGUGAGGUUGCGGGUUCGAUCCCUGGCCUCACUGUGGGUCAAGGGAGGAUCCAGCAUCGCAGAGAGCUGCGGUGUAGGUCACAGAUGAGGCUCAGAUUCUGUGUUGCUGUGGCUGUGGUGUAGGUCAGCAGCUGUAGCUCCGAUUCGACCCCUAGCCCGGGAACCUCCAUAUGUCACAGGUGCAGUCCUAAAAAGAAAAAAAAAAAGAAACCUGUUUCAGCUGAAAUAGAAUGAUGAUCCCAAAGAGAGUCUAGAAUAAUAAUAAUAACUCCCUAUAUACUGAUAUGCCUGGCCAUUUGGAAAUAGCAAUUAGUUUUGUUUUUUAACGUAAUUAUUUUGGAGAGCCUAAGAAGAAAUGAUAAAAGACUACUGAAUUCCGAACUCUCUGAAAAGAAAACAUUAUAUAAGGAAUAACAACAUUGUAAAUCAACUAUACUUUAAUAAAAAUUUGUUUUAAAAAU